rnacentral:misc_RNA from 1 species
GGAAGUAAAAGUGUAACAAGGUUUCCGUAGGUGAACCUGCGGAAGGAUCAUUAUCGAGUUUUGACUGGGUUGUAGCUGGCCUUCCGAGGCAUGUGCACGCCCUGCUCAUCCACUCUACACCUGUGCACUUACUGUGGGUAUCAGAUCGUGAAGCGUGCUCUUUUACCGGAGCUUGUGAAGCGUGUCUGUGCCUGCGUUUAUCACAAACACUAUAAAGUAUCAGAAUGUGUAUUACGAUGUAACGCAUCUAUAUACAACUCUCAGCAACGGAUCUCUUGGCUCUC